UACAGCAUUUUAAAGGAAUUAAAUCAGUAUUUUAUGUUUUCUUUUUUGUAUUGAAUAAUUUGUUUUAUAUAAAGGCUAUAAAUUGUUCAUUGCAGCAGUUAACAAAAAUAUUUGUGAAUAGUGUACAAAAUGUGUUAAAUAAGUUAAAUUAAAAACAUCUGUGGCAUACAAUUCAUCAUCUAGAUGUUUAAUUUAGCACAUAUUUUAAUUCCUAAUUAGGAAUAUUAAAAAUCUGAAUUAUAAAAACCCAGAUCCAGAUCUAUUACUAGUAAAUCAAAGGGAAAUGUAUUACAAAGAAAAAAUUUGCUUAGAACUAAAUCAUUAUUUUUUCUGAUGUAAAAACAUUUUUCAAAUGGAGAAAAUAGAUGACAUGCUAGUUUCAACUUCUACAGAUAUGAUGUAUAAUGUCCAUGGCAAAAUCGUCUUGUUUGGUAAUAAUCGUGUUCUAUAUUGUCUUAGCAUUUUUAAGGCAGAUUAUAUGAUAAGUUUCAAUUAAGAGGAGUAGAAAAUUGAAUAGUAACUCAUUUAAAUAUCAUAUUUUGUUUAUUUUAUUUUCACCCGCACGUCUGUAAAUAAAUUUGUAACUGAUUGCCGAGACAGCUUUUCUCAAAUAUUUUCUUACACAAAGAUACCUCAACUUUCGUUCAUAAUUAUUAGGUAAUAUUCGCUAAAUACAUAAGUGUAAAAAAAACGCAAAAAAAAACAACUGUUAAACUGUUAAAGAUUUAUAGUUGUAUGUGAGAAAAAUUUUGAUGAUAAGGGACUGUGUCCUAUAAAUGUGUAAUUAAUUGUAAUUAAAUCGUUUAAUGUACAUUUGUAUCAACUUUUUGUACACACUUGUUUAUUAUAAUUUCCUCGCUGAUUUCCGUAGGUCAUUGAUUAAUUACUUCACCACUUCAUACACUGUAUACUUUUAAAUGACCACAAUAAACUUUUUUAAUGCUG